rnacentral:rRNA from 3 species
UUAAGCGACUAAGCGUACACGGUGGAUGCCCUGGCAGUCAGAGGCGAUGAAGGGCGUGCUAAUCUGCGAUAAGCGCCGGUAAGGUGAUAUGAACCGUUAUAACCGGCGAUACCCGAAUGGGGAAACCCAGUGUGACUCGUCACACUAUCAUUAACUGAAUCCAUAGGUUAAUGAGGCGAACCGGGGGAACUGAAACAUCUAAGUACCCCGAGGAAAAGAAAUCAACCGAGAUUCCCCCAGUAGCGGCGAGCGAACGGGGAGGAGCCCAGAGCCUGAAUCAGCAUGUGUGUUAGUGGAAGCGUCUGGAAAGGCGCGCGAUACAGGGUGACAGCCCCGUACACAAAAGCGCAUGUGCUGUGAGCUCGAUGAGUAGGGCGGGACACGUGGUAUCCUGUCUGAAUAUGGGGGGACCAUCCUCCAAGGCUAAAUACUCCUGACUGACCGAUAGUGAACCAGUACCGUGAGGGAAAGGCGAAAAGAACCCCGGCGAGGGGAGUGAAAAAGAACCUGAAACCGUGUACGUACAAGCAGUGGGAGCACAGGUUUACCUGUGUGACUGCGUACCUUUUGUAUAAUGGGUCAGCGACUUAUAUUCUGUAGCAAGGUUAACCGAAUAGGGGAGCCGGAGGGAAACCGAGUCUUAAUUGGGCGUUAAGUUGCAGGGUAUAGACCCGAAACCCGGUGAUCUAGCCAUGGGCAGGUUGAAGGUUGGGUAACACUAACUGGAGGACCGAACCGACUAAUGUUGAAAAAUUAGCGGAUGACCUGUGGCUGGGGGUGAAAGGCCAAUCAAACCGGGAGAUAGCUGGUUCUCCCCGAAAGCUAUUUAGGUAGCGCCUCGUGAAUUCAUCUCCGGGGGUAGAGCACUGUUUCGGCUAGGGGGCCAUCCCGGCUUACCAACCCGAUGCAAACUGCGAAUACCGGAGAAUGUUAUCACGGGAGACACACGGCGGGUGCUAACGUCCGUCGUGAAGAGGGAAACAACCCAGACCGCCAGCUAAGGUCCCAAAGUCAUGGUUAAGUGGGAAACGAUGUGGGAAGGCCCAGACAGCCAGGAUGUUGGCUUAGAAGCAGCCAUCAUUUAAAGAAAGCGUAAUAGCUCACUGGUCGAGUCGGCCUGCGCGGAAGAUGUAACGGGGCUAAACCAUGCACCGAAGCUGCGGCAGCGACACUGUGUGUUGUUGGGUAGGGGAGCGUUCUGUAAGCCUGCGAAGGUGGCCUGUGAGGGUUGCUGGAGGUAUCAGAAGUGCGAAUGCUGACAUAAGUAACGAUAAAGCGGGUGAAAAGCCCGCUCGCCGGAAGACCAAGGGUUCCUGUCCAACGUUAAUCGGGGCAGGGUGAGUCGACCCCUAAGGCGAGGCCGAAAGGCGUAGUCGAUGGGAAACGGGUUAAUAUUCCCGUACUUGGUGUUACUGCGAAGGGGGGACGGAGAAGGCUAUGUUGGCCGGGCGACGGUUGUCCCGGUUUAAGCGUGUAGGUGUGUGUUCCAGGUAAAUCCGGUUCACUUUAACACUGAGGCGUGACGACGAGGCACUACGGUGCUGAAGCAACAAAUGCCCUGCUUCCAGGAAAAGCCUCUAAGCAUCAGGUAACAUCAAAUCGUACCCCAAACCGACACAGGUGGUCAGGUAGAGAAUACCAAGGCGCUUGAGAGAACUCGGGUGAAGGAACUAGGCAAAAUGGUGCCGUAACUUCGGGAGAAGGCACGCUGACACGUAGGUGAAGUGAUUUACUCAUGGAGCUGAAGUCAGUCGAAGAUACCAGCUGGCUGCAACUGUUUAUUAAAAACACAGCACUGUGCAAACACGAAAGUGGACGUAUACGGUGUGACGCCUGCCCGGUGCCGGAAGGUUAAUUGAUGGGGUCAGCGCAAGCGAAGCUCCUGAUCGAAGCCCCGGUAAACGGCGGCCGUAACUAUAACGGUCCUAAGGUAGCGAAAUUCCUUGUCGGGUAAGUUCCGACCUGCACGAAUGGCGUAAUGAUGGCCAGGCUGUCUCCACCCGAGACUCAGUGAAAUUGAACUCGCUGUGAAGAUGCAGUGUACCCGCGGCAAGACGGAAAGACCCCGUGAACCUUUACUAUAGCUUGACACUGAACAUUGAGCCUUGAUGUGUAGGAUAGGUGGGAGGCUUUGAAGUGUGGACGCCAGUCUGCAUGGAGCCGACCUUGAAAUACCACCCUUUAAUGUUUGAUGUUCUAACGUGGACCCGUUACCCGGGUUGCGGACAGUGUCUGGUGGGUAGUUUGACUGGGGCGGUCUCCUCCUAAAGAGUAACGGAGGAGCACGAAGGUUGGCUAAUCCUGGUCGGACAUCAGGAGGUUAGUGCAAUGGCAUAAGCCAGCUUGACUGCGAGCGUGACGGCGCGAGCAGGUGCGAAAGCAGGUCAUAGUGAUCCGGUGGUUCUGAAUGGAAGGGCCAUCGCUCAACGGAUAAAAGGUACUCCGGGGAUAACAGGCUGAUACCGCCCAAGAGUUCAUAUCGACGGCGGUGUUUGGCACCUCGAUGUCGGCUCAUCACAUCCUGGGGCUGAAGUAGGUCCCAAGGGUAUGGCUGUUCGCCAUUUAAAGUGGUACGCGAGCUGGGUUUAGAACGUCGUGAGACAGUUCGGUCCCUAUCUGCCGUGGGCGCUGGAGAACUGAGGGGGGCUGCUCCUAGUACGAGAGGACCGGAGUGGACGCAUCACUGGUGUUCGGGUUGUCAUGCCAAUGGCACUGCCCGGUAGCUAAAUGCGGAAGAGAUAAGUGCUGAAAGCAUCUAAGCACGAAACUUGCCCCGAGAUGAGUUCUCCCUGAGACUUAAAGUCUCCUGAAGGAACGUUGAAGACGACGACGUUGAUAGGCCGGGUGUGUAAGCGCAGCGAUGCGUUGAGCUAACCGGUACUAAUGAACCGUGAGGCUUAACCUU